ACAGCAGCAGCCGCGGGGAUACGUAGGUCCCGAGCGUUGUCCGGAUUUAUUGGGCGUAAAGCGAGCGCAGGCGGUUAGAUAAGUCUGAAGUUAAAGGCUGUGGCUCAACCAUAGUACGCUUUGGAAACUGUUUAACUUGAGUGCAAGAGGGGAGAGUGGAAUUCCAUGUGUAGCGGUGAAAUGCGUAGAUAUAUGGAGGAACACCGGUGGCGAAAGCGGCUCUCUGGCUUGUAACUGACGCUGAGGCCCGAAAGCGUGGGGAGCAAACAGGAUUAGAUACCCCAGUAGUCCCUGUCUCUUAUACA
rnacentral:rRNA from 1 species